rnacentral:rRNA from 1 species
UACGUAGGGUGCAAGCGUUAGUCCGGAAUUAUUGGGCGUAAAGAGCUCGUAGGCGGUUUGUCGCGUCUGCUGUGAAAACUGGGGGACUCAACCCCCAGCCUGCAGUGGGUACGGGCAGACUAGAGUGCGGUAGGGGAGAUUGGAAUUCCUGGUGUAGCGGUGGAAUGCGCAGAUAUCAGGAGGAACACCGAUGGCGAAGGCAGGUCUCUGGGCAUUAACUGACGCUGAGGAGCGAAAGCAUGGGGAGCGAACAGG